GACGAACGCUGGCGGCGUGCUUAACACAUGCAAGUCGAACGAUGAAGCGGGUGCUUGCACUCGUGGAUUAGUGGCGAACGGGCGAGUAACACGUGAGUAACCUGUCCUUUUCUUUGGGAUAACGGCUGGAAACGGCUGCUAAUACUGGAUAUUCAGGCUGCAUCGCAUGGUGUGGUUUGGAAAGGUAUUUUCUGGGUUUGGGUGGGCUCGCGGCCUAUCAGCUUGUUGGUGGGGUGAUGGCUUAGCAAGGCUUUGACGGGUAGCCGGCCUGAGAGGGUGGUCGGUCGCACUGGAACUGCGAUACGGCCCAGACUCCUACGGGAGGCAGAAGUGGGGAAUAUUGCGCAAUGGACGAAAGUUUGAUGCAGCGACGACGCGUGGAGAGUGUAGGCCUUCGGGUUGUGAACUCCUUUGUGUCGCGAAAAAGGCACAGUUUUGGCUGUGUUGAUGGUAGUGGGGGAAGAAGCGCCGGCUAACUACGUG
rnacentral:rRNA from 1 species